UUGCAUCACAGCCAGAUGUCUGGUUGCCGUGUUGUGUUUGGGAGAUAAACGCCAGGGUUCCUUUGAAUCCUGAAUUUAAAUAAAAGAAGGGGGGUGCUGAGGAGAAGCCUCUGUUGGGCAGAGGUACCUUCCAGAUCUUGAUCUCCUUCCUUGAUACCCACCCCCCACAACCCCCACCCCAGAUUAGAAAACUGAGGCCCAGAGAAGGAAAGUAGCUGCCAGAGGUCACACAGCUAGGAUUGAGGGAUCAGAGGGUCCUGGGUCUCCAGCUGCCCCAGUUGAACAGGGGGCUGUCCCUGCGGCUCUCAAGGCGUUCCGGGGCUGUGAGUCAUCGGGAAUGUCUGUUCUGACUGCGGCUUCCCUCUCCUGACGUGGACCCUCUUACUCCUCCUCCCCCACACUCAGGGAGAGGGUGCCCCUCCCAGGCAGGGGGCUCUGAAGUGGGGGAGGAAGCCACAGGCAGGCCUGGGAUGAGGUCUUGCUCCCCGAUUGCCAUCGGAAGGAGGCUUCGAAGACUUGCACGCCCCUCACCCAGAUUCUACCUUCCCAAGAGUUCCUCCUCCCCCACAAGCUGGCACGUGUGGAUAUUGGCUCUGUUUGCCUUUGACCCCUAGUGAAAGAAAAUACUGAGGACCACAGGUCAUCCUCAAGCCUUCCCCAGGCUAUCCUUGUCCCUGAAUACUAAUGUCUAAAGGUCAGCCCAGCUACCACCAGUGUGCAUGUGAUGUGUCCCAUCUCCCCUUCGGAUUGGAGGAAGAAGCUGUGUCCCUCCCAUCAGACAGACGGUCUCCUUAAAGAUUCUCCUGGUCUCCAGCUCGGGCUCUGCUGGAAAGAAGAGGAAGUAUGUAGCAAGGGUGAAGAUGGGUUCUUACUUCCCUGAGGCAACCAGAGAUAAGAAAAGACCGGAAUAUGAAUAUCCAGCAUUCCACAAAGAAUCCUACAGGCAGGGAUAUUGCCCAAUCACCAGUGCCUCGCAUCCCAGUUCUAUCCAAGAUCCAAGCUUGAUAUCCUCCUGAAAGACUUCCUGAAUCAGGUCACCAACAUGGACAUCUGAACUUCCGGAAUCAGGUCACCGUCUUUCUUCUCAUCUCUGGAUGUAUUUGGAGCUCAUUUGUCUGACGGUUUUUGAAUGCUAUCUUUUAAAAAUAAACUUUUACAAUUUGGGUUUAAUAAUUCUAGAUUUAUAGAAAAGUUGAAAAGAAAGUACAGAAAGUUCCCAUAUAUCCCUUAUCCAGUUCCCUUAAUGUUAACCUCCUACAUCAUCAUGGAACAUUUGCCAAAAUGAAGAUGUCAACACUGGUGCUUUGCUGUGAACUAAACUCCAGACUUUAUUCGGAUUUCAUGAAUUUUUCUCCUAAGGUCCCUUUUCCUUUCCGGCAUUCCAUCCAGGAUAUCACAUUGCAUUUGGUGUUUGUGUCUCCUUGGUCUCCUCUGGUUCUUGAGAGUUUCUCAGUCUCUCCUUGUUUUUCAUGACUGAAGUUUCAAGGAGUACUGGUCAGGUAUUCCAUAGAAUGUCCUACUGUUAGCUUUCAG